rnacentral:rRNA from 1 species
UACAGAGGGGGCAAGGCGUUAUUCGGAAUUAUUGGGCGUAAAGGGCGCGUAGGCGGCUUGGCAAGUGGAUGGUGAAAUCCCUCGGCUUAACCGAGGAACUGCCGUCCAAACUGCUUAGCUUGAGACCGGGAGAGGUGAGUGGAAUUCCCAGUGUAGCGGUGAAAUGCGUAGAUAUUGGGAGGAACACCAGUGGCGAAGGCGGCUCACUGGACCGGUACUGACGCUGAGGCGCGAAAGCGUGGGGAGCAAACAGG